rnacentral:rRNA from 1 species
GACGAACGCUGGCGGCGUGCUUAACACAUGCAAGUCGAACGGAAAGGCCCUGCUUUUGUGGGGUGCUCGAGUGGCGAACGGGUGAGUAACACGUGAGUAACCUGCCCUUGACUUUGGGAUAACUUCAGGAAACUGGGGCUAAUACCGGAUAGGAGCUCCUGCUGCAUGGUGGGGGUUGGAAAGUUUCGGCGGUUGGGGAUGGACUCGCGGCUUAUCAGCUUGUUGGUGGGGUAGUGGCUUACUAAGGCUUUGACGGGUAGCCGGCCUGAGAGGGUGACCGGCCACAUUGGGACUGAGAUACGGCCCAGACUCCUACGGGAGGCAGCAGUGGGGAAUAUUGAACAAUGGGCGGAAGCCUGAUGCAGCAACGCCGCGUGCGGGAUGACGGCCUUCGGGUUGUAAACCGCUUUCGCCUGUGACGAAGCGUGAGUGACGGUAAUGGGUAAAGAAGCACCGGCUAACUACGUG